rnacentral:rRNA from 1 species
UACGUAGGGUGCAAGCGUUAAUCGGAAUUACUGGGCGUAAAGCGUGCGCAGGCGGUUUUGUAAGUCUGUCGUGAAAGCCCCGGGCUCAACCUGGGAAUUGCGAUGGAGACUGCAAGCCUUGAAUCUGGCAGAGGGGGGUAGAAUUCCAGGUGUAGCGGUGAAAUGCGUAGAUAUCUGGAGGAAUACCGGUGGCGAAGGCGGCAUCCUGGACCGACAUUGACGCUGAACGGCGAAAGCUAGGGGAGCAAACGGG